rnacentral:rRNA from 1 species
GACGAACGCUGGCGGCGUGCUUAACACAUGCAAGUCGAACGCUGAAGCUCAGCUUUUGUUGGGUGGAUGAGUGGCGAACGGGUGAGUAACACGUGAGUAACCUGCCCCCUUCUUUGGGAUAACGCCCGGAAACGGGUGCUAAUACUGGAUAUUCACUGGUCUUCGCAUGGGGGUUGGUGGAAAGGGUUUUUCUGGUGGGGGAUGGGCUCGCGGCCUAUCAGCUUGUUGGUGGGGUGAUGGCCUACCAAGGCUUUGACGGGUAGCCGGCCUGAGAGGGUGACCGGUCACAUUGGGACUGAGAUACGGCCCAGACUCCUGCGGGAGGCAGCAGUGGGGAAUAAUGCACAAUGGGCGCAAGCCUGAUGCAGCGACGCCGCGUGAGGGAUGGAGGCCUUCGGGUUGUGAACCUCUUUCGCUCAUGGUCAAGCCGCAACAAUGGUUGUGGUGAGGGUAGUGGGUAAAGAAGCGCCGGCUAACUACGUG